GGAAGGGCUGCGGAGGAGAAGACAGGAUAAGAGGGCAAAAUGUGAGCAGAGAAGGACAAACACCCCCACUGCCCAGCAAAGUGCACUUGCUGUCAGGCUGUAGAGUCACAGAGAGGCUGUUCUUCCCUGACUUCAGCUCUGAAGUCAAACCUCAGAAAGCUGGAUCUGAGCUACAAUCCCCCAGGAGACUCAGGAGUGAAGCUGCUCUCUGCUGUACUGGAGGAUCCCAGCUGUAAACUGGAGAAGCUGAAGUGAACCGGUGUGAACUCACAGAGGAAUGCUGUGAGGCGCUGGCUUCAGCUCUCAGAUCAAACCACUCACAUAUGAGAGAGCUGGACCUGAGUUACAAUGACCUACAGGAUUCAGAAGUGAAGCUGCUCUCUGCUGGACUGGGUAUUCCACACUGUAAACUGGAGAAACUGAGGCUGUAGAGUCACAGAAGAAGGCUGUUCUUCCCUGGCUUCAGCUCUAAGGUCAAACCCCUCACACCUGAGAGAGCUGGACCUGAGCUACAAUCACCCAGGACACUCAGGAGUGAAGCUGCUCUUAUGGAAUAUUAUUUAGCACUAUAUAACGUAGAAUACAAGU